AUCGCUGCGGGUGAAAAGUCAUUUUAGCGCCGCUGCAGUACGAAUUUAAACCUCCUACUCAUUCUGAAUGCUAAUCCGAGUUCUCUUCAGCAAUGUAGAUUGUUGUUCUCCAUUCUCCAUUAUAUUUGUUGUCCGAUCAUGCUCGUCAUGUUAUGGAACUUCAAUCUUUUUUCUAUUGAAUUUUCUUUUUAGAACGUUAUCUACAAAAUCUGAUUGCGGAUAGAGUUUUGUCAAGAAUCCAUUAAUCAAUGUGUUUGUAUUUGUAUUAAUCUAUCUUUAAUUCUUUCAUCAUUAAUCGAUGGUGAUAAAGGAAUAAUUUGGUUUGUGAGUGCUUCUCGAUUGAUGGAGUUUCGAUAAGGUUUUACAUUGUUGUUUUGUUAAUUGUGAAAAUAGUUCUUUUAUAUGAUCCAAACGGAAAGCAAGCGAACCAAAUGAACCUGACAAACCUACAAUUGAGCGAAUCAGAUGUGCUCGAAGAUGAUUGUAGUCAGAACAGAUUGUGCAAUGCUAAAGGCCAACAAAUCAGGUGAAUCAAGCAUGUUAUUUCUAGGGAUGUAAAUGAGUCGAACAGAACCGAAUAGUAUUAGGCUCGAGCUCGGCACGUUUUAGAAUUAUUAAGUUCGCGAACAGUUCGAGCUUGGUUCGUUAUUAGCUCAAUUAUCAACUAACUCGUUAAGCGAGCUCAGGCUCGUUUAGAGUUCGUUUUUGAUUCGUUUUAGAGUUCGUUUUUUGACUCAUUUUAAAGCUCAUUUUAAGAUUCGUUUUAGAGUUUGUUUUUUAGUUUGGUUUAAGGUUUGUUUUUUUGAUUCGCAAGUCUAUAAACGAAUAUGUUCGCGAGCUCACGAGCUGAAAUCCUUAAACUUGAGUUCGGCUCGAUAAAAUUGUUGAGCUUGAAAUCGAGUUCGAGUUUGGUUUGAUAAGAUGAACGAACUCGAACGAGUUUUUUAUUGAACGAGUUUUGAAUAACUCAUGAACCGUUUGAUUCAUUUACAUUUCUAGUUAUUUCUGUUUUCUGCCUCAGUUAAGAGGGUCUUGUAUAUAUCUCUGUCAUAAAUAACCUCAUCCAAAAUAUUGUAAAAUGAAUUCAGAAUGCUUAAUAUUUGCUUAUGCCUCA